AUCGCUUCUCGGCCUUUUGGCUAAGAUCAAGUGUAGUAUCUGUUCUUAUCAGUUUAAUAUCUUAUACGUCCCCUACCCGGGGACCAUAUAUUAAAUUGAUUUUUGGAACUGGGGAGAUGGAAUAGGGGCUUGCUCCGUCCGCUCCAUGCAUCGGCCUGGUAUUGCAGUACCUCCAGGAGCGGUGCACCUCCU